rnacentral:rRNA from 1 species
AGUGGCGGACGGGUGAGUAACGCGUGGGUAACCUACCUCAUACAGGGGGAUAACAGUUGGAAACGACUGACUAACACCGCAUAACAAGUUGGGACCGCAUGAUCCUAACUUCAAAUAGUUUAUAGGUAUGAGAUGGGCCCGCGUCUGAUUAGCUAGUUGGUGGGGUAAUGGCCUACCAAGGCGACGAUCAGUAGCCGGCUUGAGAGAGUGACCGGCCACAUUGGGACUGAGACACGGCCCAAACUCCUACGGGAGGCAGCAGUGGGGAAUAUUGGACAAUGGGGGCAACCCUGAUCCAGCGACGCCCGCGUGAGUGAAGAAGUAUUUCGGUAUGUAAAGCUCUAUACAGCAGGGAAGAUAAAUGACAGUACCUGACUAAGAAGCCCCGGCCUAACUACGUGCCAGCAGCUGC